UCAAGGGGCUUCCAUAGCCUAGACAGCUCAUAGCAAGAGUCUCAGGUGAUUGCUGACAUCACAAAUAAGAGUGUCAAUUGUUAAAUCAACAACAGGAGUCACUGGGUUCAUGCGCCCCAUGUAGGAUCUCUGUCCUUAAUGUGUUUAACUAUGAAACUUAAAAACAACACUACUAGUCGAACAAUACCCUAUACCUGGUUCGGUUGUGUGAGUGCAGCCUGUUGAAAUCCCUGCUUAGUAUAUACUAAGCUGAUCCUCAGUAUAUGAAGGUGCAUUAGCAGGGAGCUGGAUCAGAAGUGGAGCAGCUGGGAGUUGAGCCAGUGUCCAUAUGGGAUGGUGGCACUGCAGGCAGAAGCUUAACCUUCUAUGCCACAGAGUAGACCUCUGAAAACUACAAAUUUUAAUGGUUUCUCAUAUGGGCGGCAAGAACCCAAGUACUUGAGCCAUCACCUACUGCAUCCCAGGGUGUGCAUUAGCAGGAAGCUGAACUGGAAGUAGGACUCAAAUUCAGGUACUCCAAUAUGGAAUGUGGGCAUGCCAAGCGGUGUCUUAACCACUGUACCAACUACCUGCCCCAAAACUGUUGCUGGCAAGCAAAAGCGUCCACAGUCUUAUUGCUUCAUGAACUGUAUGUGAGCACAAAUAUUCACAGUCCUCAUAAAUGCUAGCCAAAAUCCAUAUUUGGAACUUUUGAAAAAACAGUGGCCUGUCUCAACUUCAGGUAGUCCCAAUAC